rnacentral:rRNA from 1 species
CUGAGGUGGCGAGCGGCGGACGGGUGAGUAAUGCCUAGGGAUCUGCCCAGUCGAGGGGGAUAACAGUUGGAAACGACUGCUAAUACCGCAUACGCCCUACGGGGGAAAGGAGGGGACCUUCGGGCCUUCCGCGAUUGGAUGAACCUAGGUGGGAUUAGCUAGUUGGUGAGGUAAUGGCUCACCAAGGCGACGAUCCCUAGCUGUUCUGAGAGGAUGAUCAGCCACACUGGGACUGAGACACGGCCCAGACUCCUACGGGAGGCAGCAGUGGGGAAUAUUGCACAAUGGGGGAAACCCUGAUGCAGCCAUGCCGCGUGUGUGAAGAAGGCCUUCGGGUUGUAAAGCACUUUCAGUAGGGAGGAAAGGGUGUNNNUUAAUACGCUAUAUCUGUGACGUUACCUACAGAAGAAGGACCGGCUAACUCCGUGCCAGCAGCCGCGGUAAUACGGAGGGUCCGAGCGUUAAUCGGAAUUACUGGGCGUAAAGCGUGCGCAGGCGGUUUGUUAAGCGAGAUGUGAAAGCCCUGGGCUCAACCUAGGAAUAGCAUUUCGAACUGGCGAACUAGAGUCUUGUAGAGGGGGGUAGAAUUCCAGGUGUAGCGGUGAAAUGCGUAGAGAUCUGGAGGAAUACCGGUGGCGAAGGCGGCCCCC